GUUAUUUGUUUUACAAGGGGGCACAGUUGUUAUUCCAAAAUUGAAUUGGUUCGAGAAGUGGAAUCUUGAGCGUUGCGAGGGUUUCAAGGCACGAGGGUUAAACAAAUUUUGCCACCGAGUGAAACACAACAUUUUUCACCACACCAAC